rnacentral:rRNA from 1 species
GACGAACGCUGGCGGCGUGCUUAACACAUGCAAGUCGAACGGAAAGGCCCUGCUCUUGCGGGGUGCUCGAGUGGCGAACGGGUGAGUAACACGUGAGUAACCUGCCCUUGACUUUGGGAUAACUUCAGGAAACUGGGGCUAAUACCGGAUAGGAGCUCCUGCUGCACGGGGGGGGUUGGAAAGUUUCGGCGGUUGGGGAUGGACUCGCGGCUUAUCAGCUUGUUGGUGGGGUAGUGGCUUACCAAGGCUUUGACGGGUAGCCGGCCUGAGAGGGUGACCGGCCACAUUGGGACUGCGGUACGGCCCAGACUCCUACGGGCGGCAGCAGUGGGGAAUAUUGCACAAUGGGCGGGAGCCUGAUGCAGCAACGCCGCGUGCGGGAUGACGGCCUUCGGGUUGUAAACCGCUUUCGCCUGUGACGAAGCGUGAGUGACGGUAAUGGGUAAAGAAGCACCGGCUAACUACGUG